UACAGAGGGGGCAAGCGUUGUUCGGAAUUACUGGGCGUAAAGGGCGCGUAGGCGGCCUUCUAAGUCAGACGUGAAAUCCCUCGGCUCAACCGGGGAACUGCGUCUGAUACUGGGAGGCUUGAAUCCGGGAGAGGAAUGCGGAAUUCCAGGUGUAGCGGUGAAAUGCGUAGAUAUCUGGAGGAACACCGGUGGCGAAGGCGGCGUUCUGGACCGGCAUUGACGCUGAGGCGCGAAAGCCAGGGGAGCAAACGGG
rnacentral:rRNA from 1 species